UACGAAGGGGGGCUAGCGUUGCUCGGAAUCACUGGGCGUAAAGGGCGCGUAGGCGGCCAUUCAAGUCAGGGGUGAAAGCCUGUGGCUCAACCACAGAAUUGCCUUUGAUACUGUUUGGCUAGAGACCGGAAGAGGUAAGUGGAACUGCGAGUGUAGAGGUGAAAUUCGUAGAUAUUCGCAAGAACACCAGUGGCGAAGGCGGCUUACUGGUCCGGUUCUGACGCUGAGGCGCGAAAGCGUGGGGGAGCAAACAGG
rnacentral:rRNA from 1 species